CCUACGGGCGGCUGCAGUGGGGAAUAUUGGUCAAUGGGGGCAACCCUGAUCCAGCCAUGCCGCGUGUGUGAAGAAGGCCCUCGGGUUGUAAAGCACUUUCAGUGAGGAAGAACGCCUGGUGGUUAAUACCCAUCAGGAAAGACAUCACUCACAGAAGAAGCACCGGCUAACUCCGUGCCAGCAGCCGCGGUAAUACGGAGGGUGCGAGCGUUAAUCGGAAUUACUGGGCGUAAAGCGCGCGUAGGUGGCUUGAUAAGCCGGUUGUGAAAGCCCCGGGCUCAACCUGGGAACGGCAUCCGGAACUGUCAAGCUAGAGUGCAGGAGAGGAAGGUAGAAUUCCCGGUGUAGCGGUGAAAUGCGUAGAGAUCGGGAGGAAUACCAGUGGCGAAGGCGGCCUUCUGGACUGACACUGACACUGAGGUGCGAAAGCGUGGGUAGCAAACAGGAUUAGAUACCCUUGUAGUC
rnacentral:rRNA from 1 species